rnacentral:rRNA from 1 species
GGAAGCCUGAAACAGGUGGUGCAUGGCUGUCGUCAGCUCGUGUCGUGAGAUGUUGGGUUAAGUCCCGCAACGAGCGCAACCCUCGUCGCAUGUUGCCAGCGGUUCGGCCGGGCACCCAUGCGAGACCGCCGGCGUUAAGCCGGAGGAAGGUGGGGACGACGUCAAGUCAUCAUGCCCCUUAUGUCUUGGGCUACACACGUACUACAAUGGUCGGCAACAAAGGGCAGCGAAACCGCGAGGUGGAGCAAAUCCCAUAAACCCGGCCUCAGUUCAGACNGUNGGCUGCAACCCGCCUACGCGAAGUCGGAAUCGCUAGUAAUCGCAGGUCAGCAUACUGCGGUGAAUACGUUCCCGGGCCUUGUACACACCGCCCGUCACACCACGAAAGUUGGUAACACCCGAAGCCGGUGAGAUAACUCGCAAGAGAGUCAGCUGUNUAAGGUGGGGCCGAUGAUUGGGGUGAAGUCGUAACAAGGUAGCCGUUUGAGAACGAGCGGCUGGAUCACCU